UACGUAGGGUGCAAGCGUUGUCCGGAAUUAUUGGGCGUAAAGAGCUUGUAGGCGGUUUGUCGCGUCUGCUGUGAAAAUCCGGGGCUCAACCCCGGACUUGCAGUGGGUACGGGCAGACUAGAGUGUGGUAGGGGAGACUGGAAUUCCUGGUGUAGCGGUGAAAUGCGCAGAUAUCAGGAGGAACACCGGUGGCGAAGGCGCUCUGCUAGGCCGCAACUGACACUGAGGGACGAAAGCUAGGGGAGCGAAUGGG
rnacentral:rRNA from 1 species